rnacentral:rRNA from 1 species
UACGUAGGCAGCAAGCGUUGUUCGGAGUUACUGGGCGUAAAGGGUGUGUAGGCGGUCCUUUAAGUUGGGUGUGAAAUCCCUCGGCUCAACCGAGGAACUGCGCCCAAAACUACCGUGCUCGAGGAAGAUAGAGGUAAGCGGAACUUACGGUGGAGCGGUGAAAUGCGUUGAUAUCGUAAGGAACACCUGUGGCGAAAGCGGCUUACUGGGUCUUUUCUGACGCUGAUGCACGAAAGCUAGGGGAGCAAACGGG